AUGCAUCUCUACAACGCGUGGCUGCCCCCGGCGGUGGCGGAUGCCGCGCGGGGGGAGGCGGCGGCCUUCGCCGGCGCGGUGCGGGCGGCCAAGGACGCGUGGCGCCCCGACGACCCCGACUCGGCCUACGCCACGCUCAAGUGGAUCUCCGUGUUCGACCUUUUUAUCAAAGCAAAGAGUGACGUUGCUCCUGAGGACAUACAUGCUCUUGUAGAGCUUGGGUUUGGAAUAUUUCAUGCAUCGCAGAAUAAGUUUGUUGUCCAGAUAAAAUGGGGAGGUUUGCUCAUCAGGCUUUUCAAAAAGCAUGCGGAGAGACUUUCACUUGAUGUGCAAUGGAGGCCGCUUUACGAGACAUUGAUACAAACCCAUUUCAAGAGAAACAUGGGCCCUGAGGGCUGGAAAGUAAGGCAGCAACACUUCGAGACCAUCACCGGCUUAGUACAUGCCUCUAGGACUUUCUUUCCUGAAGGUGCAGCUGCUGAGAUUUGGUUGGAAUUCAGGCCGUUGCUGGAAAAUCCAUGGCAUAACUCAGCAUUUGAAGGUGUUGGAUUUGUUAGGCUGUUUCUUCCUGCAAACUCGAGGAACCAGGAUCACUUUACGACUGAUUGGAUUGCACAAUGUCUACACAUUUGGGACUCUGUCACAAAUUGUAACUUCUGGGAUAUCCAAUGGGCUGCCAUCAUAGCACGUUGCAUAAAAAAUUCCAGAUCCAUUGAAUGGGAGAAGUUUCUGCCGCUAUUGUUUACAAGAUACUUGAACAUGUUUGAGGUUCCUAUAUCCAGUGGGAAUGGGUCGUACCCUUUUCCAGUGGAGGUGCCUAGGAACACAAGAUUUUUGUUCUCAAGUAAGACCAGAUCACCUUCCAAGGCAAUUGCAAAGUCUGUUGUGUACCUUUUGAAGCCUAAAAGUCUGGCACUGGAACAAUUUGAGAAGCUCAUAAAUUUUCUAGAACAAUUCUAUCAUCCAUCAAAUGGGGGUCGCUGGACCUACUCAUUGGAGCGUUUUCUGCGGUAUCUUGUUUUUUACUUUGAAAGACGUCUUCAACAUGAACAAUUUGACACAAUGGAUGAGAAAAAUGAGCAGUUCUGUUUGGGAAAAGAAGAGAGAGCUGUUUUUAUCAAAGUAGUGCUGAAAUUACUGGAUCGUGGUCAGUACAGCAAGGAUGAUUCUCUUGCUGAAACAGUAUCCAUUGCAACUUCAAUCCUGUCUUAUGUCGAGCCAUCCUUGGUGCUUCCGUUUGUCGCAACGAACUUCCAACUAGCCUUGGAGACAACUACUGCCACCCACCAGUUAAAGAAUGCUGUCACAUCUGUCGCAUUUUCUGGACGGGCGCUUCUUCUAAGUUCUUUAUGCUCAACUCAAUCUGGUGAUAGUAGCAUGAUUGAUACACUCUAUGAUCUUAUUGUCACUUCCCUUUCAAAUGCAUUGCUUGGUAUGGAUGCCAACGAUCCACCUAAAACUGUAGCUACGAUGCAAUUAAUUGGCUCAAUAUUUUCAAAUCUGGCUACAGUUGGUGUUAGUGAUGAUGUGCCUGCUUUCCUCCAAACUUCCUCUCUAUCGGAUUGGCUACAUGAAUUCUUUUGUCGGCUGUUUUCUGUGCUUCAGAAUCUGGAAUCAAGUAGUGCCAUCGCGGAGGGUUACCAGACCUCAAUCAUGCCGGGAACUUUUCUCGUCGAGGACAGCCCUCACUAUUUUUGCAUGCUAGAAAUAGUUCUGGGAAAGUUAUCAAAAACCUUAUUUAAUCAGUCCCUUAAGAAAAUUGCCAAGUUCGUCAAUGCAAAUAUCCUUCCUGGUGCCACUUCAGAAGUUGGACUUCUUUGUUGUGCCUGUGUUCAUUCAUAUCCUGAGGAGGCUUCAGUCUACCUUGUAAAGCCUAUCUUAAUGACUAUCAUGUCCUCCUUCGAAGGUACCCCCACAACAGGUUAUGUUGGAAGAGAAGUUCCUAACAAUAUGUCUACUAAGGCUACACUUUCUCCUGCUCUAGAAACAGCAUUGGACUACUAUCUGAGGGUUUUGGCUAUAUCCAUCAGUUAUGCGGGUCCUGUCUUACUGAGCUAUAGAGAAGAAUUAAAGCACGUAAUAAUGUCUGCAUUCCAGGCCCCUUCAUGGAAGGUCAAUGGAGCUGGUGAUCAUCUCCUUCGCUCUGUGCUAGGAAGCCUGGUUUCAUUUUAUCCACUAGAUCAGUAUAAGCCAUUUUCUUGUCAGUCCAUUGCUAAUAUUAUUGAGCCAUGGGGUUGUUCAAAAGCUCAUCAGGACAGGGAGGUUGAAAUGCUUAAUUUUCCUCCGAAGUGGCAUGAUCCCAGUCAAGAUGAACUAUCUUUUGCAAACGAAUUGUUAGAAUUUCAUUUUCAGUCGGCUGUGGAAGAGCUUUUGACUAUUUGCCAGAUGGAAGUUCAGUCUGAGACAGGAGAUGAAAAGGAGCACCUAAAAAUAACGCUAUUGCGCAUUCAUUCUGCAUUGCAGGGUGUAAUGUCGUGCUUACCUGAACUGCGUCCAUCAUAUAAAGAUGGGAGGUCCAAGGUAGUAGAGCCCAGUUUCUUUAUUGCAGGAUCUUCUGGUAGCACCGUUGGCAGCUCAGAGAUGCGUGAAAAGGCUGCAGAACUUGUGCACAUAGCUUGCAGGUACUUAUUAAAGGAAAGAACUGAUGAUAGUAUUCUCCUAGCACUUGUAGUACGCGUGAUUGAUGCUUUGGUGAACUAUGGUAGCUUGGAAUAUGAUGAAUGGUCAAGUCAUGUUCAAGCUUGGAAAUUAGAGUCUGCUGCCAUCAUUGAGCCUCAAUGCAACUUUAUUGUUCCAUUCCAUGCUCAGGGCAAAAAGAGAUACCGGACAAAUGCCAAUGUAUCUCCGUCUAGCCUCAUGGUUAAUUUGGUGAAGGAUCUCCUAGAUCUCUCACUACACAACUAUGAAACUGUUCGCUCGUAUGCUGGAAGAUCGCUAACAAAAAUGCUGAAGCACUGGCCUUCUCUAAUUUCUGAUUGUGUUCUUACCCUGACUGAGAAUUUGCGUGAUUCGAAAGCCCUGGAACAUGUGGUGCUUGGUUCUUGCAGCAUUCUUGCAUCACAGACUGUUUUGAGACACUUGACAACUGAUUCUGCUUCCCUCUCUUCAUUUAUCAUGGGAAUUUUGGGAAGCUCUCAUCAUGAAUCGAUAAAGUGUCAGAAAGCUAUUACUGAGCUCUUUGUGAAAUACAACAUACGUUUCUCUGGAAUAUCAAGGUCUUUUUUCAAGAAUUCUCAAAGUCUGGCUGACAGGCCAGGAUUUCUUGGAUUAUUUUCUCAAAUUAAUGCUUUGGGCUUUGAGACUAACAGUCUACAUUGGAGGUACAACCUGAUGGCUAAUAGAGUACUUCUGUUGCUAAUUUUGGCAUCUAGAAGUGAGCCUGACAUUUAUUCACAAAUCCUGGCAGAGACUGCUGGUCAUUUCUUAAGAAAUUUGAAGAGUCAACUCCCCCACUCAAGGAUGCUUGCAAUAUCUGCUCUGAACACACUAUUAGAAGGAUCACCUCACAAGGCAUCUGUGGAAGAUUCACAACAAUCAUUAGAUCACCCUGAAGAAUGCAAUAUUUUGUCAACAGGAAGGCUUCUGAAUGACAUAAUCCAGGAGGAAGGAUUCAUGAAUGAUACACUAAACAGUCUCUCACAUGUACAUAUUAUUUCUGAUAGUGAUGGUUCAUCAAAAGCAAGUUAUGGUGCUUCAUCGUUUCAAAGCGGAUCUGAUAAAGCAAUCACUUACUUCUAUUUUGAUUUCUCUGCCUCGUGGCCAUGUACCCCUAGUUGGAUUUCUUUAGUGGGCGGUGGCACAUUCUAUUCCAGCUUUGCUAAGAUAUUCAAAAGGCUUAUACAACAAUGCGGAAUGCCAGUAAUGUCCUCACUUCAGACUGCACUAGAAGAAUUUCUGAGUUCAAAAGAAAGAUCAAGGCAAUGUGUGGCGGCUGAAGCUAUGGCGGGCAUGCUUCACUCUGAUGUCAGUGGGGAUUUGGAGUCUGGGAGUGACUGGUUGAUGCUUCAAUUGCAGAAGGUUGUGUUAGCUCCAUCUGUGGAAUCAGUUCCUGAAUGGGCAUCUUGCAUUAGAUAUGCUGUUACUGGCAAAGAAAGAUCUGGAACUCGUGCUCCUGUUCUCAGGCAAAAAGUAUUAGAUUGCUUAUGUACAGCAGUUCCUCAGUCUGUAGCAACUAGUGUACUUGCCAAGAGAUAUUCUUUUCUGUCUGUUGCUCUAAUUGAAAUUUCUCCACAUAAAAUGUCCCCAGCAGAGGAGCAGUACCACGUUACAAUUCUCAACGAACUGCUUGACAAUAUGAGUCACUCAUCUGCACAGGUAAGAGAGGCGAUUGGUGUUGCUAUGUGUGUCGCAUGCUCGAAUGUGAGAUUAGCUGGUGCACGUUCACCGGGAGUCCUGACAGAACAAACCGGAAAUGAAUAUUGGUCUAAGCGUUUGACAGAUGGAGUUACUGAGUUGUCUGUGAGUAUACAGAACAAUAGUCAAUCUAAGCAACUUGAAUUGGCAUCCGAUUCAUCCACUGUGAAUGGCUUGGACAAUAAAGAGGAGGCUGACGCUAAAAGAAUGGAAACGAUUUUCCAUUUCAUGAUUGCAUCUCUGAAGUCUGGGAGAUCUUCCGUUCUACUAGAUGUUAUUAUUGCACUCUUCUACCCUGUUCUAUCAUUACAGGAAACAUCAAAUAAAGAUUUGUCAUUGCUUGCAAAGUCAGCUUUUGAAUUGCUUAAAUGGCGGACUUUGCCGCGCCCUUUUCUUGAAACAGCUAUUAUGGCUAUCCUUUCUUCAGUCAGUGAUCCCAACUGGCGAACCAGAUCAGCGUUGUUAUCAUAUCUCAGGACCUUUACAUACAGGCACACAUUCAUUCUUUCUGGCUCAGAGAAAUCACAAAUUUGGCAAACAAUCGAGAAGUUACUUGUGGAUAACCAAGUUGAGGUCAGGGAGCAUGCUGCUGGUGUUCUUGCAAGCUUAAUGAAGGGUAUAGAUAAAGAUCUAUCGAAGGAUUUCCGUGAUAGAUCAUAUGCACAAGCCCAACGUAUCCUUGAUACGAGAAGAAGAACUCCAAAGUCCGGCCAUUCUGUUGCUACCAUACAUGGUGCAGUACUUGCUCUGACGGCUUCGGUGCUUUCUGUCCCAUACGACAUGCCAAGCUGGCUUCCUGGUCAUGUAACACUACUGGCCCACUUCAUCCGCGAGCCGUCUCCUGUGAAAUCUACUGUGACAAAGGCUGUUGCUGAGUUUAAGAGGACACACGCCGACACUUGGAGCAUCCAGAAGGAUGCCUUCACAGAAGACGAACUGGAGGUCCUCCGGGAUACAUCGUCCUCGUCAUCGUACUUUGCUUAG
rnacentral:rRNA from 1 species